rnacentral:misc_RNA from 1 species
GAGCAUUUAGCUUGGAAGUUGGUUUCUCAAAGUUACCCAACGCCAAUAUGAUGAGCGAUUCCCAAAGCCUUCCUGGGCGCACCACGUCAUUUCAAGAAAACUACAAGGAUAUAUUGGGAAAAUAACGUGGGGCCCAUAUCGUCACUAUAUCAUAACGUGGCAUCGAGUGACAACCACAGGAAACACCAAACGGGUUCCUUCCUCGAUAAGUAACCACACCGUACAUAUUAC